rnacentral:rRNA from 1 species
GACGAACGCUGGCGACGUGCUUAACACAUGCAAGUCGAACGCUGAAGCUUGGUGCUUGCACUGGGUGGAUGAGUGGCGAACGGGUGAGUAAUACGUGAGUAACCUGCCCUUGACUCUGGGAUAAGCCUGGGAAACUGGGUCUAAUACUGGAUACGACAUGUCACCGCAUGGUGGUGUGUGGAAAGGGGUUUACUGGUUUUGGAUGGGCUCACGGCCUAUCAGCUUGUUGGUGGGGUAAUGGCUCACCAAGGCGACGACGGGUAGCCGGCCUGAGAGGGUGACCGGCCACACUGGGACUGAGACACGGCCCAGACUCCUACGGGAGGCAGCAGUGGGGAAUAUUGCACAAUGGGCGGAAGCCUGAUGCAGCGACGCCGCGUGAGGGAUGACGGCCUUCGGGUUGUAAACCUCUUUCAGCACGGAAGAAGCGAAAGUGACGGUACGUGCAGAAGAAGCGCCGGCUAACUACGUG